rnacentral:rRNA from 1 species
GCUUAACGCGAAGAACCUUACCAGCACUUGACAUCCCGAUUUUGGUUAGUGGAGACACUUUCCUUCAGUUCGGCUGGAUCGGAGACAGGUGUUGCAUGGCUGUCGUCAGCUCGUGUCGUGAGAUGUUGGGUUAAAGUCCCGCAACGAGCGCAACCCCUUCCGUUAGUUGCUACCAAGUUAUGUUGGGCGACUCUAGCGGUACUGCCGGUGAUAAGCCGGAGGAAGGCAGGGAUGACGUCAAGUCAUCAUGGCCCUUACGUGCUGGGCUACACACGUGCUACAAUGGCAACUACAAUGGGAUGCAAUGGCGUGAGCCGGAGCUUAUCCGAUAAAAGUUGUCCCAGUUCGGAUUGGAGUCUGCAACUCGACUCCAUGAAGUUGGAAUCGCUAGUAAUCGUGGAUCAGAACGCCACGGUGAAUACGUU